CCUACGGGCGGCAGCAGUGGGGAAUAUUGCACAAUGGGGGGAACCCUGAUGCAGCGACGCCGCGUGAGCGAGGAAGUAUUUCGGUAUGUAAAGCUCUAUCAGCAGGGACGAAAAAAGACGGUACCUGACUAAGAAGCCCCGGCUAACUACGUGCCAGCAGCCGCGGUAAUACGUAGGGGGCAAGCGUUAUCCGGAUUUACUGGGUGUAAAGGGAGCGUAGACGGCAAGGCAAGCCAGAAGUGAAAUGCCGGGGCUUAACCCCGGAACUGCUUUGGAAACUGUGCAGCUAGAGUGCAGGAGAGGUAAGUGGAAUUCCUAGUGUAGCGGUGAAAUGCGUAGAUAUUAGGAGGAACACCAGUGGCGAAGGCGGCUUACUGGACUGUAACUGACGUUGAGGCUCGAAAGCGUGGGGAGCAAACAGGAUUAGAUACCCGGGUAGUC
rnacentral:rRNA from 1 species